GAUGAACGCUGGCGGCGUGCCUAAUACAUGCAAGUCGAGCGAACAGACGAGGAGCUUGCUCCUUUGACGUUAGCGGCGGACGGGUGAGUAACACGUAGGUAACCUACCUAUAAGACUGGGAUAACUUCGGGAAACCGGAGCUAAUACCGGAUAAUAUUUCGAACCGCAUGGUUCGAUAGUGAAAGAUGGCUUUGCUAUCACUUAUAGAUGGACCUGCGCCGUAUUAGCUAGUUGGUAAGGUAACGGCUUACCAAGGCAACGAUACGUAGCCGACCUGAGAGGGUGAUCGGCCACACUGGAACUGAGACACGGUCCAGACUCCUACGGGAGGCAGCAGUAGGGAAUCUUCCGCAAUGGGCGAAAGCCUGACGGAGCAACGCCGCGUGAGUGAUGAAGGUCUUCGGAUCGUAAAACUCUGUUAUUAGGGAAGAACAAACGUGUAAGUAACUGUGCACGUCUUGACGGUACCUAACCAGAAAGCCACUGCUAACUACGUG
rnacentral:rRNA from 1 species